rnacentral:rRNA from 1 species
GCUAAUCAGUGACGCCUCGCAGGGGAGUGGAUACUGGUGAGUAACGCGUGGGAAAUACCUUUCCUGCGGAAUACCUCCGGGAAACUGGAAUUAAUAACGGAUACUCCCUACGGGGAAAGAUUUAUCGGGGAAGGAUUGGACCGCGUUGGAUUAGCUAGUUGGUGGGGUAAAGGCCUACCAAGGGGACGAUGCAUAGCUGGUGUGAGAGGAAGAUCAGCCACAUUGGGACUGAGACACGGCCCAAACUCCUACGGGAGGCACCACUGGGGAAUAUUGGACAAUGGGCCCCAACGCUGAUCCAGCCAUGCCGCGUGAGUGAUGAAGGCCUUAGGGUUGUAAAGCUCUUUCACCGGAGAAGAUAUAAUGACGGUAUCCGGAAAAAAAGCCACGGCUAACUUCGUGCCAGCAGCCGCGGUAAUACGAAGGGGGCUAGCGUUGUUCGGAAUUACUGGGGGUAAAGCGCACGUAGGCGGAUAUUUAAGUCAGGGGUGAAAUCCCAGAGCUCAACUCUGGAACUGCCUUUGAUACUGGGUAUCUUGAGUAUGGAAGAGGUAAGUGGAAUUCCGAGUGUAGAGGUGAAAUUCGUAGAUAUUCGGAGGAACACCAGUGGCGAAGGCGGCUUACUGGUCCAUUACUGACGCUGAGGUGCGAAAGCGUGGGGAGCAAACAGGAUUAGAUACCCUGGUAGUCCACGCCGUAAACGAUGAAUGUUAGCCGUCGGGCAGUAUACUGUUCGGUGGCGCAGCUAACGCAUUAAACAUUCCGCCUGGGGAGUACCGUCGCAAGAUUAAAACUCAAAGGAAUUGACGGGGGUCCCGCACAACCGGUGGAGCAUGUGGUUUAAUUCGAAGCAACGCGCAGAACCUUACCAGCUCUUGACAUUCCGGGUUUGGGCAGUGGAAACAUUGUCCUUCAGUUAGACUGCCCCAAAACACGUGCUGCAUGGCUGUCUUCAGAUCGUGUCGGGAGAUCUUGGGUUAAUUCCCCCCAACGAGUGCACCUUCCCCCUUAAUUGCCCCCUUUAGUUGGGCAUCUAAGUGACUGCCCGUGAUAACCAAAAGAAUGGGGAAUAACCUCCAGUCCCCUGGCCUUACGGCUGGGGACCCCUGCCACAAGAGGGUGGUGACAUGGACAGCAAAACAUUUCGCUAUCCCAAACCCCCCCCUUCCAAUGCCCCUCGCCCCCGGCUAAUUCGAAUCCAUGAACCUAAACGCUAGUAAAUCCCAGAUCAACACCCUCCCCGAAUACGUUCCCGGGCCCCCCCGACCCCCCCCGUCCCCAAAGGAAAUGGUUUUACCGAAGUAGUGCCUAACCCAAGAGCACUUCCCGUUAA